GGGUUGUGAGGUUAAGCGACUAAGCGUACACGGUGGAUGCCCUGGCAGUCAGAGGCGAUGAAGGGCGUGCUAAUCUGCGAUAAGCGCCGGUAAGGUGAUAUGAACCGUUAUAACCGGCGAUACCCGAAUGGGGAAACCCAGUGUGAUUCGUCACACUAUCAUUAACUGAAUCCAUAGGUUAAUGAGGCGAACCGGGGGAACUGAAACAUCUAAGUACCCCGAGGAAAAGAAAUCAACCGAGAUUCCCCCAGUAGCGGCGAGCGAACGGGGAGGAGCCCAGAGCCUGAAUCAGCAUGUGUGUUAGUGGAAGCGUCUGGAAAGGCGCGCGAUACAGGGUGACAGCCCCGUACACAAAAGCGCAUGUGCUGUGAGCUCGAUGAGUAGGGCGGGACACGUGGUAUCCUGUCUGAAUAUGGGGGGACCAUCCUCCAAGGCUAAAUACUCCUGACUGACCGAUAGUGAACCAGUACCGUGAGGGAAAGGCGAAAAGAACCCCGGCGAGGGGAGUGAAAAAGAACCUGAAACCGUGUACGUACAAGCAGUGGGAGCACCCUUUGGGGUGUGACUGCGUACCUUUUGUAUAAUGGGUCAGCGACUUAUAUUCUGUAGCAAGGUUAACCGAAUAGGGGAGCCGGAGGGAAACCGAGUCUUAACCGGGCGUUAAGUUGCAGGGUAUAGACCCGAAACCCGGUGAUCUAGCCAUGGGCAGGUUGAAGGUUGGGUAACACUAACUGGAGGACCGAACCGACUAAUGUUGAAAAAUUAGCGGAUGACCUGUGGCUGGGGGUGAAAGGCCAAUCAAACCGGGAGAUAGCUGGUUCUCCCCGAAAGCUAUUUAGGUAGCGCCUCGUGAAUUCAUCUCCGGGGGUAGAGCACUGUUUCGGCUAGGGGGCCAUCCCGGCUUACCAACCCGAUGCAAACUGCGAAUACCGGAGAAUGUUAUCACGGGAGACACACGGCGGGUGCUAACGUCCGUCGUGAAGAGGGAAACAACCCAGACCGCCAGCUAAGGUCCCAAAGUCAUGGUUAAGUGGGAAACGAUGUGGGAAGGCCCAGACAGCCAGGAUGUUGGCUUAGAAGCAGCCAUCAUUUAAAGAAAGCGUAAUAGCUCACUGGUCGAGUCGGCCUGCGCGGAAGAUGUAACGGGGCUAAACCAUGCACCGAAGCUGCGGCAGCGACGCUUAUGCGUUGUUGGGUAGGGGAGCGUUCUGUAAGCCUGCGAAGGUGGCCUGUGAGGGUUGCUGGAGGUAUCAGAAGUGCGAAUGCUGACAUAAGUAACGAUAAAGCGGGUGAAAAGCCCGCUCGCCGGAAGACCAAGGGUUCCUGUCCAACGUUAAUCGGGGCAGG
rnacentral:rRNA from 1 species